UAGAUGUAUUAAUCUGUUGUCAGUAUGCAGUGUCAGAUCUACUAACUGAUCUGGGAUCAAAUGUGACCAUAAACUGUGAUCUUGAUGAAAAGGAGGUUUAUUGGAUUUUACUGAAAACAGCAGAUCCUCCAACACUGAUUCUACGAUCACUGUCAACCACAGCAUCACCUUUUUACUCUAAUAAAACAUUCAAAAAUAAAUAUUCAGUGCAGUUUAAACAUCGUCUAGUUAUAAAUAAUGUGACUGCUGAUGAAUUAGGAGUUUAUUACUGUAUGAAAUCAGGAACACCUCCAAAACUCAGCAACAGCACCAGAAUAUACAUCACUGAAUCAACUCAACUAACUGAGUGUCACAAUCAUACAGCGGUGGAGAUUAUUGAUCAGAAUCAAACACAAUAUCAGAUUAUUAUAAUCAUAUCUGCCCUGAUGAAUGGACUUUUAAUCAUUGUAGUGAUCGGGCUAGUAAAAGUUUUUGUUGUUGGAAAAAGAAAGUCUGCAGAAACAUCAACUCCAUCUAACACUGAUCUACAGCAGAUGCAAGUUAUAAAACAGCAUCAGGACCCAAACCAAUUACAGUAUGCUGAAGUCG